GUUGGAGUGGCAGAGAUUGGUAAGUGCAGAAGACCUAAGACCUUCAUUUCGAGGGCUCAAAUCCCUCCUCCAACU
rnacentral:tRNA from 1 species